UCAGUGUGUGUGUUAGUGGAAGCGUCUGGAAAGGCGCGCGAUACAGGGUGACAGCCCCGUACACAAAAAUGCACAUGCUGUGAGCUCGAUGAGUAGGGCGGGACACGUGGUAUCCUGUCUGAAUAUGGGGGGACCAUCCUCCAAGGCUAAAUACUCCUGACUGACCGAUAGUGAACCAGUACCGUGAGGGAAAGGCGAAAAGAACCCCGGCGAGGGGAGUGAAAAAGAACCUGAAACCGUGUACGUACAAGCAGUGGGAGCCCUGAUUUAUCAGGGUGACUGCGUACCUUUUGUAUAAUGGGUCAGCGACUUAUAUUCUGUAGCAAGGUUAACCGAAUAGGGGAGCCGAAGGGAAACCGAGUCUUAACUGGGCGUUAAGUUGCAGGGUAUAGACCCGAAACCCGGUGAUCUAGCCAUGGGCAGGUUGAAGGUUGGGUAACACUAACUGGAGGACCGAACCGACUAAUGUUGAAAAAUUAGCGGAUGACUUGUGGCUGGGGGUGAAAGGCCAAUCAAACCGGGAGAUAGCUGGUUCUCCCCGAAAGCUAUUUAGGUAGCGCCUCGUGAAUUCAUCUCCGGGGGUAGAGCACUGUUUCGGCAAGGGGGUCAUCCCGACUUACCAACCCGAUGCAAACUGCGAAUACCGGAGAAUGUUAUCACGGGAGACACACGGCGGGUGCUAACGUCCGUCGUGAAGAGGGAAACAACCCAGACCGCCAGCUAAGGUCCCAAAGUCAUGGUUAAGUGGGAAACGAUGUGGGAAGGCCCAGACAGCCAGGAUGUUGGCUUAGAAGCAGCCAUCAUUUAAAGAAAGCGUAAUAGCUCACUGGUCGAGUCGGCCUGCGCGGAAGAUGUAACGGGGCUAAACCAUGCACCGAAGCUGCGGCAGCGACACUGUGUGUUGUUGGGUAGGGGAGCGUUCUGUAAGCCUGCGAAGGUGUGCUGUGAGGUAUGCUGGAGGUAUCAGAAGUGCGAAUGCUGACAUAAGUAACGAUAAAGCGGGUGAAAAGCCCGCUCGCCGGAAGACCAAGGGUUCCUGUCCAACGUUAAUCGGGGCAGGGUGAGUCGACCCCUAAGGCGAGGCCGAAAGGCGUAGUCGAUGGGAAACAGGUUAAUAUUCCUGUACUUGGUGUUACUGCGAAGGGGGGACGGAGAAGGCUAUGUUGGCCGGGCGACGGUUGUCCCGGUUUAAGCGUGUAGGCUGGUUUUCCAGGCAAAUCCGGAGAAUCAAGGCUGAGGCGUGAUGACGAGGCACUACGGUGCUGAAGCAACAAAUGCCCUGCUUCCAGGAAAAGCCUCUAAGCAUCAGGUAACAUCAAAUCGUACCCCAAACCGACACAGGUGGUCAGGUAGAGAAUACCAAGGCGCUUGAGAGAACUCGGGUGAAGGAACUAGGCAAAAUGGUGCCGUAACUUCGGGAGAAGGCACGCUGAUAUGUAGGUGAAGCGACUUGCUCGUGGAGCUGAAAUCAGUCGAAGAUACCAGCUGGCUGCAACUGUUUAUUAAAAACACAGCACUGUGCAAACACGAAAGUGGACGUAUACGGUGUGACGCCUGCCCGGUGCCGGAAGGUUAAUUGAUGGGGUCAGCGCAAGCGAAGCUCUUGAUCGAAGCCCCGGUAAACGGCGGCCGUAACUAUAACGGUCCUAAGGUAGCGAAAUUCCUUGUCGGGUAAGUUCCGACCUGCACGAAUGGCGUAAUGAUGGCCAGGCUGUCUCCACCCGAGACUCAGUGAAAUUGAACUCGCUGUGAAGAUGCAGUGUACCCGCGGCAAGACGGAAAGACCCCGUGAACCUUUACUAUAGCUUGACACUGAACACUGGUCCUUGAUGUGUAGGAUAGGUGGGAGGCUUUGAAGUGUGGACGCCAGUCUGCAUGGAGCCGUCCUUGAAAUACCACCCUUUAAUGGCUGGUGUUCUAACGUGGGCCCGUAAUCCGGGUUGCGGACAGUGUCUGGUGGGUAGUUUGACUGGGGCGGUCUCCUCCUAAAGAGUAACGGAGGAGCACGAAGGUUGGCUAAUCCUGGUCGGACAUCAGGAGGUUAGUGCAAUGGCAUAAGCCAGCUUGACUGCGAGCGUGACGGCGCGAGCAGGUGCGAAAGCAGGUCAUAGUGAUCCGGUGGUUCUGAAUGGAAGGGCCAUCGCUCAACGGAUAAAAGGUACUCCGGGGAUAACAGGCUGAUACCGCCCAAGAGUUCAUAUCGACGGCGGUGUUUGGCACCUCGAUGUCGGCUCAUCACAUCCUGGGGCUGAAGUAGGUCCCAAGGGUAUGGCUGUUCGCCAUUUAAAGUGGUACGCGAGCUGGGUUUAGAACGUCGUGAGACAGUUCGGUCCCUAUCUGCCGUGGGCGCUGGAGAACUGAGGGGGGCUGCUCCUAGUACGAGAGGACCGGAGUGGACGCAUCACUGGUGUUCGGGUUGUCAUGCCAAUGGCACUGCCCGGUAGCUAAAUGCGGAAGAGAUAAGUGCUGAAAGCAUCUAAGCACGAAACUUGCCCCGAGAUGAGUUCUCCCUGAGACUUAGAGUCUCCUGAAGGAACGUUGAAGACGACGACGUUGAUAGGCCGGGUGUGUAAGCGCAGCGAUGCGUUGAGCUAACCGGUACUAAUGAACCGUGAGGCUUAACCUU
rnacentral:rRNA from 1 species